UACGAAGGGUGCAAGCGUUACUCGGAAUUACUGGGCGUAAAGCGUGCGUAGGCGGUUUGUUAAGUCUGAUGUGAAAGCCCUGGGCUCAACCUGGGAAUGGCAUUGGAUACUGGCAACCUAGAAUGUGGUAGAGGGUGGCGGAAUUCCCGGUGUAGCAGUGAAAUGCGUAGAUAUCGGGAGGAACAUCCGUGGCGAAGGCGGCUCGCUGGGCCGGUCCUGACACUGAGACGCGAAGGCGUGGGGAGCGAACGGG
rnacentral:rRNA from 1 species